GUCCAUGCCGUAAACGAUGAUUACUAGGUGUUGGGGAUUGACCCCUCAGUGCCGCAGUUAACACAAUAAGUAAUCCACCUGGGGAGUACGACCGCAAGGUUGAAACUCAAAGGAAUUGACGGGGCCCGCACAAGCAGUGGAGUAUGUGGUUUAAUUCGAAGCAACGCGAAGAACCUUACCAGGUCUUGACAUCCGAUGCAUAGCACAGAGAUGUGUGAAAUCCUUCGGGACAUCGAGACAGGUGGUGCAUGGUUGUCGU
rnacentral:rRNA from 1 species